rnacentral:misc_RNA from 1 species
AAGAGUAGCAAAUAUGAAAGUUUAGUUAAAUAUUAUUGAAUUCAAUUUCAGUAUUUUAGAGAAUAAUAACAUAAAAUACAUAAAUAUUUCAGUUAAAUAUUGCAGUUAUCAUCAUUCAGCUUUAUAUGAUUUCAAUCUUUAGACCAUCCUAUCAAAGCAAGAAGCAUCCCAAAUAUGCCAUCACUUAUCAGAGCCUUCAUUAACUUCUUCUUGCUUUCUGUGUAUGGCGGAUACCUUAUAGAUGCAUCUCCAUUAAAACUUCUGUAGAGAACGGCCUUCUUGUGGCUAAAAGCAUCAAAAGAAAAUUUCCCAUGGUACGAUCCCAUUCCACUCUCCUCAACUCCUCCAAAAGGUAAAGUAUCUACUGUGACAUGGAGUAUUGUAUCAUUAAUGAGCAUUCCUCCAGCCGAUACGUUCUGCACAAAGCUUUCCUUUAGCUUCUCAUCAUUGGUGAAGAGAUAUGCUGCAAGAGGUUUUGGUUUUGAGUUUAUCGCAUCAAAACUGUCCUUCACAUUUUCAACAGUGAUAAUAGGAAGUAAUGGCCCAAAUAUCUCAUCCUGCAUUAUCUGAGAAUCUUUAGGAACGUCCAAUAAUAUGGUUGGUGCCAUCCUUCUGCAAUGUAAGUUAAUUAUCACACAACCAUUGAUUUGUACUGCUACUCAUGUACACCAUCGUCAUGUUACAUAUGUUGUUCAAAAGAAGGUUUAAAAAAACCAAAAAAGUGAAAUUAAUAAAACAAACCCACAAUUUGUUUUGAUCCCUUUGGCCUCCUAGUACAAUUUUGUUGGAGACAUUAUCUUCAUCCAAGAGCCUUUCUAGACGGGUGAAGUGGUUUAAGCUCACAAUCCGCGAUAUAUCUUUUGAUUCCAUUGGGUUCCUCCCAAAGCAAUCCUCUAACUCUUUUCUAAGCGCAUCAAUCAAUUUUGGAGCAAAAUCUUUAGUAGUUAUAACAUAGUCGACACCAAUACAAGCUUGGCCAUUGUUGCAUUGCCACUUGCCAGCUAUAAUCCUCCUUGUAGCAACCUGUAAAUUGACAUUUGAAUCAACAAUGGCUGGGCACUUUCCUCCAAGUUCUAGGAUAACAGGUGUAAGGUGUUUCGCUGCAGCUGUCAUCACAAUUCGACCCACUUUUGAACUACCUGUGUAUAAUAUUUUGUCCCAUUUCUGCUCCAGUAAUGCAGAUGUUUCAGGAACAGCCCCUUCAACGACUCUUACUGCAGAUUUGUCAAGAUAUUUAUCAAAUAAAUUUACAAGUAAUGAAGACGUGGCUGGAGAUAUUUCUGAUGGUUUAAGGACCACAGCAUUCCCAGCUGCAAUUGCUCCAAUGACUGGAUCCACCGACAGCAGGAAAGGAAAAUUCCAAGUUGAGAUGACCAACACAACACCCAGAGGUUCUGACACAAUUUCCGCUGAUGAAGGGAAGGUUGAGAUUGAAGUUUUUGCCUUUUCUGGCUUCAUCCAAUGUUUCAAUUCUUUAAGCGCCAAUUCACAAGAUGACUUUGCAUUAGAAAUCUCCGAAAUAAAGGCUUCGAAUUCAGGCUUUGAGAGGUCAUCAUAAAGAGCUUCAGCAAUCUCUUUUUCGUUUUCCACAAUCAUCAUUCUGAUACUCUCCAACUGGGACACUCUCCAAUCGUAACUCUUUGUCUUGUUAGAUUUAAUGUUCCCUCUAAGCUCCUUAACCAGCGAAGCUGCUUCAUUUUCAUCAAAUGAUUUCUUCUCUUCCUCCGCCAUUACCGACAAAGCUGCAGAACAAGAAUAUGAAGAGAAGUUGGGAAGGGAGUGAUGGAUGGAGAGAAAGGAGGCAGACUUCUUAUUGGUCUUACGUACACAACGGCAGGUGAAGGUUCUUCUCACACCAGUAUCAACUGCACUGAAAUUUGGGAAGAGCCCGAUUCGAAGGCCUCUCAUGAUAGGGAGAGCUUUCGCUACUUAUAAAUUAUCUGCACAGAAGCCAGAAAAACCACUCAAAUGAGUCGUUUAAUG